UACAGAGGGUGCGAGCGUUGUCCGGAAUCACUGGGCGUAAAGGGCGCGUAGGCGGCUUUUCAAGCGUGUGGUGAAAGCUCGGGGCUCAACCCCGAGUCGGCCAUGCGAACUGGGAGGCUUGAGCACGGUAGAGGCACAUGGAAUUCCGGGUGUAGCGGUGGAAUGCGUAGAGAUCCGGAGGAACACCGGUGGCGAAGGCGGUGUGCUGGGCCGUAGCUGACGCUGAUGCGCGACAGCGUGGGGAGCAAACAGG
rnacentral:rRNA from 2 species